rnacentral:rRNA from 1 species
AGAAUCAACGCUGGCGGCGUGCCUAACACAUGCAAGUCGAACGAGAAGGUGGAGCAAUCCACAAGUAAAGUGGCGCACGGGUGAGUAACACGUGACUGACCUACCCUUGAGUGGGGGAUAACCUAGGGAAACCUGGGCUAAUACCGCAUAAUACCUACGGGUCAAAGGAGCAAUUCGCUUAAGGAGGGGGUCGCGGCCGAUUAGUUAGUUGGCGGGGUAAUGGCCCACCAAGACGAUGAUCGGUAU